rnacentral:rRNA from 1 species
AUUGAACGCUGGCGGCAUGCUUUACACAUGCAAGUCGAACGGCAGCACAGGGAGCUUGCUCCUGGGUGGCGAGUGGCGAACGGGUGAGUAAUGUAUCGGAACGUGCCUGGUAGUGGGGGAUAACUACUCGAAAGAGUGGCUAAUACCGCAUGAGAUCUUUGGAUGAAAGCGGGGGACCUUCGGGCCUCGUGCUACUGGAGCGGCCGAUGUCAGAUUAGGUUGUUGGUGGGGUAAUGGCCUACCAAGCCUGCGAUCUGUAGCUGGUCUGAGAGGAGGACCAGCCACACUGGGACUGAGACACGGCCAAGACUCCUACGGGAGGCAGCAGUGGGGAAUUUUGGACAAUGGGCGCAAGCCUGAUCCAGCAAUGCCGCGUGCAGGACGAAGGCCUUCGGGUUGUAAACUGCUUUUGUACAGAACGAAAAGUCUCUGGCUAAUAUCUAGAGAUCAUGACGGUACUGUAAGAAUAAGCACCGGCUAACUACGUG